rfam:Camelus ferus unplaced genomic scaffold scaffold1095, whole genome shotgun sequence.
AGCCCCACAGGGGUCUUAAUUUAUUUCUUAUCUUUUGCUAUGUAAGGGUCUGUGGUGUUUUUAAAUAAUGGUUUCUUCUUCCUGCU